rnacentral:lncRNA from 1 species
CGAUCGACUCCUCCUUUAAACUUCAAAGUACGUACUCUUGGCAUGCAUGCGCUUGAUUUUCAUGAUCAUCAAGGAGGUGUAGUGAUGAAUUUGGCUGCUACUUUGUGGCCCCUAUGGCUUGGACCUGAAGGGGGUACUAGUCUGCGGCCUUUAAACUCAUCGAGCAUAUCAACAAGAGCAUGUUUAUCCACACGUUCAUCAACUUUGCUUUCGUAAUUAUACGGAACAUGAACGUGUG